AUGCUUGUUUCAGCAGCACAUACGCUAAAAUUGGAAUUAUACAGAGAAGAUUAGCAUAGCCCUUGCACAAGGAUGACACACAGAAUUCAUGAAGUGUUUCAUAUUUUU
ensembl:snRNA U6 U6 spliceosomal RNA